rnacentral:tRNA from 3 species
UGGGUUUUAUAGGUAACGGAACAGCGGUUACGACUAUUAACCGUGAAUACAGCGAAUUUAUUAACCAGCAGUUCAAUUCAGCUCAGACCAAAC